CACGGGGUCCCGCGGGUGCGGGGCGCCGUCGGGGCGCUGGAGCUGAUGCGGAGCUAAGGCCAGCUGCUGCUGGCGCGCUGCACCGGGGGCUUUUUUUUUUUUUUUUUUCCUCCCCUUUUUGUUUUUUCGCUUGAAGCAGCCUGCCCUGCCCAGCCAUUCAGGGCAAGGAAGCCUUCCCGCUGCCCGGAGGUGCCGGCGGCCGCUUGCCCCGGGGCACAGCGCUGCUCCCCGCUUCUCCGGGCGGCACGAGCCGUUUUGCAGCGCGUUUCCUUGCGGGUCCCGGCCGGUGGUCGGCGGCGGAACAGCGGAGCACGCUUCCCCCCCCCGGGCAAGGCAAGGCAGCGGCUCCGCGCCUUUCUCCCAGGGAAGAAACCCCCGCCCCGGGACAGGCUUCUCAGCGCCGGCCGCGACCGUGCGGCUCUGCGGCCACAGGGUUAUAUUUGACCCAAGAUAAGGCACCCUGGGACUUGUGCACACGGUGGUUACCCUGGGUAAAGUGGUAACAAGUGGUGGGACUUGGACAAGCAAUAUGAGGAGACUGCCAGUAAUUGCUCAUCAACAUGCUGAAGUGCGUGAAUUGGAGGUAGCCCUGACCAGAUGGUGGAUUCUGUUCGGAGCAGUCUUCCAGUGAAGGGUGUGAUUGAAAAGGAAGCUGAGAAGACGACGGUAGAUUGUACUUUCUAUGCUGAGAAGCAUGGACAGACUCAUCCUAUACACAAUAGACAGAGGAUAGGGCCAGGAGUCCCAGAAUGUGUUUUGGAAAAGGGAGAAAGAUCUACAGUCUGAGAAGGUGUGGAUACAUUCAGCUACAAAGAUGAAUAUGAGUAGAGUCUCUGAGAAAUGGAUAUGGCAAUAUUUCAGAGAAAAA